rnacentral:lncRNA from 1 species
UUGCCCGCCAGCAAUGCCUAGGAGCAGCCAAGCAGGGACCCGUCGGAAACCCUUCAUCCAGCAAUCAGCUCCCUCCUGCAGGUAAAGUACCUGUUCCUUCCCUCCCCCGCUGAGGACAGCUGGGAGCUUCCUUUCCAUAGUGACCUCCCCAGUCCAUGAGCCCCUUAUACUGGGGCUAAUUGUAGCCCCGCCCCUGCAAAAACAAUAACGCCCUCGGGGAUGGACCCCACCACACUCAUAUUACAGAUGAGGAGGCUGAGGCCCAGAGAUCUCAUGGUCACACAGGCACUCGGGGAACAGAUCUGGAACUUGGGUCCAGGAGUCCUGGGUGGCCCCCGUGGGAACAGUUUCAGGGUCCAGAUGAAGAGACGAAGUCGCGAGAGGCGUGGGGUCCCUGAGCGGGGGGGUUGGGCAGGCCCCUGACUGCCUCGGCUCCCAGAGGACACGGGGCAGAAGCUGGCAUUGGAGACGCUAGACGAGCUGGACUGGUGCCUGGAUCAGUUGGAGACGCUGCAGACCCGGCACUCGGUGGGGGAGAUGGCCUCCAACAAGUUCAAGCGGAUCCUGAACCGGGAGUUGACCCACCUGUCCGAAACCAGCCGC